GCAUAACGCGAAGAACCUUACCCACCUUUGACAUGUACGGAAUCCUUUAGAGAUAGAGGAGUGCUCGAAAGAGAGCCGUAACACAGGUGCUGCAUGGCUGUCGUCAGCUCGUGUCGUGAGAUGUUGGGUUAAGUCCCGCAACGAGCGCAACCCUUGCCAUUAGUUGCUACAUUUAGUUGAGCACUCUAAUGGGACUGCCGGUGACAAACCGGAGGAAGGUGGGGAUGACGUCAAGUCCUCAUGGCCCUUAUAGGUGGGGCUACACACGUCAUACAAUGGCUGGUACAAAGGGCUGCCAACCCGCGAGGGGAGCUAAUCCCAUAAAGCCAGUCGUAGUCCGGAUCGCAGUCUGCAACUCGACUGCGUGAAGUCGGAAUCGCUAGUAAUCGUGGAUCAGAAUGUCACGGUGAAUACGUUCUCGGGUCUUGUACACACCG
rnacentral:rRNA from 1 species